AGCGCAGACGGGAGAUUAAGUCAGUUGUGAAAGUUUGCGGCUCAACCGUAAAAUUGCAGUUGAUACUGGUUUCCUUGAGUGCAGUUGAGGCAGGCGGAAUUCGUGGUGUAGCGGUGAAAUGCUUAGAUAUCACGAAGAACCCCGAUUGCGAAGGCAGCUUGCUAAACUGUAACUGACGUUCAUGCUGAAAGUGUGGGUAUCAAACA
rnacentral:rRNA from 1 species